UAUCAAACUGACAAUAAAUUUAUAAAAAAAAAUGCUUACAUAAUAUUCAGUAAUUCCUGCAAUCAUCAUCACUCAUAAAAAAUAAGAGAAAGAUCUCCAGGAAGCAUUUGAGAUCAUAAUUUGCUACAGCGAUAAACAAAGAAAAACAGGUAAUGCUAUGCCAAUAAGUAGAUUAGUUAAAAAUUGCAGUUGUACAAAGACUCGUAAGAAUACCAAAUGCUAGAAAAGAGGGUUUAAAACACGAAGCUUUUUGUGACGGUUCAAAACCGGCCUUUUUUUUGCGAUGGCAAACAAAUAUGUUGCGAAUUUAUUUAUUUAUAUGUUGCGAAUUUAUUUAUUUAUUUUUUGUGAUGGCAAUUGACAGUCGCCAAAAAAUGCAACAGAUAAAUACACUUUUUAGAGACGAAUAACCCGAAACCGUCGCAAAAAGUAGUACUGUAUUCGAGGAAACCCCCCUCUCCUCUCCUCUCCUAUCACUCUCGCAGACCCUCACAAUCUCUCUCUCGUAUACCCUCACAGACUCUCUCUAGCAACGGCGGCGACUUCCUUUUGGUGACAACAUCGGCGUCUCGCAGACCCUUUCAAGCUCCCUCUGACAUCCAGGAAUGGAUGUGGUGAUUCCGCCUAACUAAAUGCUAGAAAAUAUGUGUAUUGAGAGUCCAAAACUCUCAUUCUGCUGUGACUCUGCCUGUAAGCCAAGGGCUGCAUUUUUGUGCGUUUGAAUAACCAUUUUGUGUAACUAGGCUUUAGCCUUGGAAACUUGUAAACCCUUGGCGGUAUUUAUUUGUUUAAUUACUUCUUAUUAGUCUAAUGUAUUAUCGCAUGAGGAAUUAUUUACAUUAUGAAAUGCAAGUGUGGGAUUGUAUAAUUGG